CGGCCUACGGGGGCAGCAGUGAGGAAUAUUGGUCAAUGGGCGGAAGCCUGAACCAGCCAAGUCGCGUGAGGGAAUAAGGCCCUACGGGUCGUAAACCUCUUUUGCCGGGGAGCAAGGGCGGGGACGUGUCCCGGCCCGGAGAGUACCCGGAGAAAAAGCAUCGGCUAACUCCGUGCCAGCAGCCGCGGUAAUACGGAGGAUGCGAGCGUUAUCCGGAUUUAUUGGGUUUAAAGGGUGCGCAGGCGGAGGCACAAGUCAGCGGUAAAAUCGCGGGGCUCAACCCCGCUCCGCCGUUGAAACUGUGU
rnacentral:rRNA from 1 species